GCUUCCGUCGGUGCAGCGGAAAUUUAGCGAGCACGGUGACGGACAAUAAAAGCACGCGGCGGCUCCCGUAAAAACAGUAAAGCGUAGGCCCGCAUAUUUUCGGUUGGCGAGGACACCUCUCCUGGACCGGCGGCGACAGGAGAAGGACAGCGGAGCCGAGUGAGGAGGGUAGAGUCGAGAGAGGAGGGAGGUUUGGGAUCGGGGCGUGCGGCGGCCAGCGCGCCGAGGCGGAGGAUGAGAGGAGGAGGGGAACUUCGGGCUCGCGCAGACUGGCGCCCCACCGGCCGCCGUUGCCCGCUCGCCCACGCCGACCCGCGCGGCUCGCCCCCGGCCACACCGUCCGCUUGUCGCCGUCGGCCUCCGCUCCGGUUCCCGCCCGCUCGUCGUUCGCGUGCCCCGACCGCUCCGCCGCGCCCGCGCCCGCGCAGACGCCCGUCGUUGCCGUUGUCGCGCGUCGUCGUCCGUCGCCGCUGGCGCUCGCGCGCCCCGACCGCUCCUACGCCGUCGCACCGUCCCGCCGCUCGUUGCCCUUCAUCGUCCUCGAGCGGUGCGCACACCUCGACGCACCUGGUCGCCCAGCUGCGAGGCACGAGAGGGAUGCGGCGUCGUCGGAGAAGCGCAGAGGGGCGGGGACGGCGACGGCCACUGGGGACACGGGGAAGAAGAGGCACGAGCCGGUGGGACGCGGUGACGACGUGGACAGCGAAGAGCGAGGCGGAGAUCUGACCCGUACACCUCGCGCCGCGACAGCGGUAACAGGAACUGCAUGCUCCUCGCGACCGACGUCUCUUCCGGUAGGUGCCACGGCAGCGGGGUGUUGUCUCUUCCAGCUCUUCCUAAGACCCACCAAACCGGAUAGGGAAUACGAAAAGGAAAAAGGGAAAAGCUAAAUGCGAAACGACGAGAAGCUAAACUAGGUAAUAUCACAACAUCGACGUUCACAACCUGACCAGCAAGGAGAUUGGCCUCCGGAACGCUACCAAGACAACCCAAGUCCAUUUUGGGCCGUUACUUGAAACCUCAAUCAUAGGAGUUCAAUGAAAAAUUGACGUAAUGAUCUGUCGCCAACCGAAAGUCAAUGGUCCGAAAAGUCCAAAACGACGACAAUUAACAUAAACCAUUCAACGGAGAGUAACACGAACAACAGCCUUGGUCGUUGUCGUCUUCGAACGGACGACGGGAUGGAGAAGUCGUUAGACUACCUAAAUGUCCGAACAAACAAAGUAACCACCGAACGACGAGCCCAAGAAACAACUAAAACAACCUACACACACAACAAAUGGUUGUUCCUCGAAGUAUUCCCAACGAGUGGUUACUUGAUCUUCUAACAAAACAGGACCCGUGAGUGUGCUAAUUCCUUCUUUAACCAAUAAGGACCUACACGAUACGUCUAGUUUCCGUUGACCUUCCUCUUACGUGUAGAGAACAGUAAUACAACAUGUUCGAGUACACCUUAAGUUAAAAUCCAACAAACUAUACCACGUUCCCGUACGGGAUUUACUCUCUUUCUUGGUUGUGUUCCCCUCCUCGUCCCCAGUUUGUUGGCUAUAGAACCGUUAGUGAGAUAAAGACUGAAAGAUACAAUAACAAAAGUAAGCAAUACUCCUUCCCCUAUUGGUAGACUAAGCCUAUAUGUUUUAACACAUAAUUUGGUAAAUUAGUAUAACUGGAUGACCUGAUAAUGGAACACACUUCAACGAAUGGUACCCGGAGAUAAGGAUAUCAUCUGAAGAUUAAAGUACUACGAUGACUCAAAUGUUAACUUCAACGAAUGGUACCCGGACAUAACGAAAAGAUUAAAGUAGUUAACUCAUGAAACUACAAAGUCUCAAAUAUGGUACUCACGUAGACGUCGUUAAACCAUAGACCAAAAAUAAAGUAAAAGAAUGUUAAGUGUUAUUCGGAAGAGCUUAUUUAGUGUCACACUGGAUUAGAAUGCACUAACCUACAGCGGAUUCAUACGAAGGACGAUAAAAAAUGUGAUAACAAUUGCGGUUUGACAACAGUACUGAAUGACCACUUUAAAUCUUCACUAUAUAGACGCGUAUAUAUGCCCAUAAAUUGUAUUGUACUAGACGUACAAGACUUAGACGUCAAGACGUGAUACGAAACGACCUACAGCGGAUUCGUCUCCUACGCCGUCAGAACCGGUGUAAACCAAAAGUAUUCGAUUAUACCCAAAGAAAGGGAAAAUAAGAACGUUCUAUACCAAGAAACAACCAAGUAAGCUGGUACGACAAUUGGUUGUUCCGGAGACUAGGACAGACAUCACACGCCGAUCCAACAAGGAGGCGGACCCAGCAUCGAAGAAAGGAAAGACGGCUACCGUCCAUGUUCUGAGCUCGUUACCAAUUGCCCGUUCGUGAUAUAUGUGGUAAGUAGAUACGAUUAUAUUAGGCAGAAAAUUUCGGUUACAUACGAUAGUGGUUCACUAGACUUAUAAAACAAAGUUCGUAGUUCGAAAGUACAUUACCUUAUAUUCAUAGAAAUUCAACUAAGAUUUAGUUAGAGUAUGUGUACGAAACUUACGAACCGAGCGAGAACGAAAAACACGGUACCAGUUUGUACCUCGCUACUGAGACAGAUUACAAAUAGUGAAGUAUCGCGGAUAUACACUGAUAGAUGAAAGAAACGAUUAUUGUAACAUUUAUUAAUUAGCAUUCGAAGAAUCUUGUGAUUCAUGGUAGUGAUUCGUAGAUAGAUGGUCGUUAUCCAUGAAUAAAAGUAUACAAAGUUAUACACGGGCUUAUUAUAAUUACAUGUGAGAAAGUUAUGUACCGUAUGAGAGCCAGAAACGCGGUAACCGCGUUGGUCAGUGGAUCAUCAUCAGCUCCCUCUAUCGAGUAGCUUUCUACUGCGUAGUCUUCUUAAGUGUUCUACACCUGCUGAUCAAAUCAUUUCUUCUCCUACUCCUACCCCUACUUAGUGGACCCUUCGGAAUCCCCUGCUUGCUCCAACCCUUCGGCGUCUACUGCUAUUGCACGCCAGAUGUUGUCAGCAUGUCCUUCUGUGUAACCUUACCUACCUGUUCCCGUUAUGUACUCAUUAUCCACAUAGCCGUUUUCGGUCCUUUCUUUACAGGAGUUACUCUCUCCGGCUUCCUCUCUUAACUGCACCUAUCUUUCCUGCUCCGAGUAGUUUUCAGCGUGGGGCUCUUUACGAAUAGGCGGCUAGCUAUGCUAGGGUUGUGACUAUCAGGAACACGAGUAGUCGCAUUGGAUUCUUCUUUGUAAGUUAUAUGAUUCGUUGGUCAAACUCCCCCGUUCUUGUAUAAUUAGCGUUGUUUUGUUUCCUUCGCAACACAUCGGUACUCUUGCUGGUUUUUCUGUGAGCUCUCCUUAUAUCGGGAUGUUUCGUUCCUUCCAACCAACAACUAGUCCAUCCACCUACAUCUUUAUUGGAGUUGGGUUUUCACUGGAUUCUUCUGUGUAAGUUAUAUGAUUCGUCAGUCAAACUCCCCGUUCUUCUUACAUAAUUUGCUUUGUUUUGUUUGCUUCGUGACUCAUCGGUACUCUUGCUGGUUUUUCUGUGAGCUCUCCUUAUAGUGGGACGUUUCGUUCCUUCCUAUUGACAACUAGUCCAUCCACCUACAUCUUUGUUGGAGUUGGGUUUUCACUCCACCUUCUCUACGCAACUAGAAGUUACGUGUUCGACGGAGUUCUUCCACUGCUACGAAUCGUUUGUUAAGACUAGUAUUCUGGUACUGUUCUCUUGACUCUUUCACGCGGGACGUUCCUUAGGCGAAUUAUUUACUAACUAUUUGAGUGUACGUUUUAGACGUACCUUCUGUGUCCUUCCUCACCUUUUGGCCCAUACUUCGUACCGCCGUUUGAAGAAUGACUAUUCUGGAGCGAUCUUCUUUUCGUAUUUUAUAUAGGUACACACAAGCUCUCUUUAGUAUAUAUUUCUACUAUAUCAUCACUAAAGGAGGAAAACUCCGUUUCCCUGGACCUGGGGUUUGUAGCUUCACUUGUAGAACACUUAAGAAAACUACGCAGUAGAAAGCUACUCGAUAGAAAUGAUACUCCCGCUACUCUGUGUUAGAGUGAUACUCCUAUUACAUUGAAUUGGACAAACGAUUCGACUGUUUGACUGUCGGAUUUCUGUGUGGCGGUCUCUGUCUAGGUUCUUCUGGUGCAGCUUGAUUCCUACUCUCUGAUCUCGGUGUGUUCACUGGUUCUGUUACUAAGAUUUUCUUGACCAUUUCUUUCAUUGGUCCCGUCUCUCUGACCGCCGCCACCGUCCUUUCCCUUCCAAUUCGGUCUAUUCGUGGAUCUCCUGGACCCUUAAUAUUGCAGCUCCCGGUUGUGGUUCAUCUCGUAGGCACAUUCCUGAGAUUAGUCUUGUACUUGUACUCUUAGACCUCCAGCUUACCGACUGUUUGACCUUCUUAGUAUUCAAUAUACUUUUAUGUAGGUCAUGGUUCCUAGGUACCUCUACAUGGACCAACACAUUUUUCAGCAGUGAGCCAUGUUCUUUUUAAAUGGAAUAUUUCCUACUUCCCCAACAAUCAGUGCUGGUUCGGUAGGUGCAGCCGAUACUUGUGAAUCGUUCGCCCGUCGCUCGCGCUCGUCCAUCGCUCUCUUUUUCCCAUGUGCACGCGACGCUCUCUUUUAUAGAGCAGAGAGAGGGCUCGCCCGUCGCUCUCUUUUUCCCAUGUGCAGGCGACGCUCUCUUUUAUAGAGCAGAGAGAGGGAGGAGGGAAGGGCAGCGGAGGAGGAGAAGGGGUAGGGAGUGCCGGAGGAGCGGGGGAGGCGGAAGUCGUGGAGAAGGAGGGGAAGGAGAGGAGGAAGGGACGGAGGCCAAGGUCCGUACCUCCCUACUUGGGCCUCUCGACAUCGGCCACCUACGGCGCUGCAUGCCCCUCCGCUACCGCUUCCCCUCAAAGCCAGUUCACCUUAGACUACCCAACGUCCCGCUCCUCGUCCCUCAUCGGACCGCAUCUAUGUCUUAUAGCCGGAGAGGGGUGCUGGGUGGAGAGGGUGGUCUCGUGUUGAUCCAACUGGAGACGGAGGGAAAACUAACGUUAAGGAACACACUCGAGGAGGGAGAUUAAGUACAGGAGGAUUAAUUAAAAAAGUCAGUAGAUCCCAAACCUACCCAGACCCAAGGAUGUUGCUACCGUCGUCUCCGCUGUUUCUGGUGAAACGUUGGAGCGGCUUGACACAAUGACUUGACUUUCAAAUCCCUGCCGUCAUCAAGAUGGUGGCUACCACAACGUACAUUCGACCUACAAGAGUAACAAGACAACCGAGACUAGCCACUACGUCCUACACACUCCAUGUUGAUAGUUUCACUGUAAUUAAAACCAAAACGAAGGAUAGACGUCGGAGAAGAUGUGAUCUUUUCCUUUUGUGAGCUGCUAGACCGAGACAGAGUCCAUAUACGAGGGAGCGGGCGUUCUAGGCGAGAGAGGGUAGAUACGUAGUGCCGUCGUGAAGUCGAGGAGAACACCUAAGAGUGGUCUAGUCCGGUGGAGUGAGUGGAAGUCAACAGUCCUGGAGUGGCCGUCUAGGGAGUCGAUAGUCCCUUUCGUCGGUAGUCGCCUCUAACUCCCACGGAGAGGCCGUUCUCACGAGCACAGCACCACCAAAGGGUGGUCGUCGUACCCCCUCCGCCACAGGAGACGUCGAUCCAGAUGAACGACCGCUGGAGUGGCAGUGGUCGGGUAGACGUCAGAUACGACCUACGAGCAGUCACUCGGACAGUUGUCCUUUCCCUCUCCCAUCUUCAACUCGCUUGGGUACCUAACUUACUCCAAAGUCACCACAGCUUAGCGUGGUACUAGUCUAUGUACGACACUUUAGUAUAAAACGCACCCCCGCGGUUGUUCGGACGGCUGUCGUUACAGUGAAGGUCUCAAGGUCACCGACAUCGUCGGUUCUUCCUUGAUGGAUAACGGCCGCCCCGAGUUCGCCACAGUGAAAGUCACCGAUAUCGUCGGUUUUUUUGGUUUUGGGGAGAUAUAAGACUACCGUUUAGACAUUCGUAGAGUGAUUACUUUCUCGAAUAGUGGUACUGCACAUGCACACGCAAAAUUUUUACACUCCGAUUCCAGUUGGUAGUUGGGUUUUACAAAGAGACAGUGAUUGGUGGACUUUAAAUACAUGUUGAAAAGUCAAAAAUAACUAACUAACUACCGAAACAAGAACUGUCAGGAAAUGCUUAGAUGAGACGAAAACACCUAUCCGCUUUUUCUAACAAAAAAUCAUAAAAAAGAAGUCAUCUAAUAACUUGCUCCAAAGUCUCGUCUAACUCUCUUUUUCUCUUUACAAUCAAGUACGAAGUCAUGUAAUAAAAAGAAGUAAUGAGAAAAGUUAUAAAGAACGAAGUCAUGUAAUAAAAAGAGAAUGAUGUAAAGAAACAAGAAAAGUAAGGCUUUUCCGAUGGAAUCAUCGUGUUGAUGCGAAAAAAAAGGAAAAGUCGAGAGUUUGACGUCGGAUCAAAACAACAAUCAAGAGACAAAAACUACCUAGACUAUACCAAUCGGGAUAGAUCAAAAAGACAUACACGAUGCGGGUCAAUAUUGAUGAAGGUAGAAAAUUGUCGACAGGAUCAAAACAACGAGUGGCCGACUGUGGAAGAAAAAGAAAAAGAGAAAAAUAGUCUACAUACUUAACGUGCACCGUAGUGUAUUUAAUGGUAAGCUCUAUUCAAGGUCAGACGUCUAGAGCCCCCUGUCAUACCGACCUUAUGCGAACCAUUGUCCCUCGUAAUGGUGACGACACAUCAUUCUGGCUUAGUUUAAAUUCCCUCACUUAACGUUUUUUGGUGGUGUAACUUCGGAUCCCAACGUUUUUUCUGAGAAGAUGCAAAAACACGGUCUUUUGUGACUAAAGCGCGUAUUAGUAAACGUCUUUUGUGGUUUGGUGGUUUGGAAGACAACCCCGUAAAAUUCGUGAUAAUACUGUCCACCCCGGGCUAAAACCCCUGCACCGCAGUACCGGCACUCGAGUGCGGCAGAUUGCCGCACCGCCGGCGAUGACGAGGCCGCACACCCAUUUUUGUUCAAGCUAGGUCGAGAGAGGAGUGUGAGAGUGGAGACGGAGCGGGAGAGGAGUGAGACAAGAAGGAGGGGCCGCGGCGGUCUGGCGGCUGGCAGCAAGACGACGAGGGGCCACGGUACCACAGCACCUCGUUGCUCUGGUCACUCCUAAGUCAGGACUUGUAGAGGAGGAGGACACUACCGUAGUAGUUCGAAGGUCGAUACUACGUGCUAGGCUUAAAGUUACCAUGACUGUGUUUACACUUACACAACACACUUGUGCCACUCGGCCGGCUUGCAAAACAUCGUAAACUUACCUACGUGUGCCCGUCCUCCAAAUAACCUACACGAUUCUUCCUUCCGUAUUUGACACCUCAUCAAGUUACCUAACUAAAACUUACCGGUCUGAGUUACCUCCUCCGUAACCGGUUCGAUACCCUAUACAUACUCCUCUGGUUCAGUCGAUCCUGGUUACUGUUAGAUCUCUCAAGGCAACGUUAAGUGUUGGACUGUCUUCUCUUCUUCUUUGAUAUCCUCUUGAUACUGUCAAACAUACGACUACACUUACGAGAAAACUUACGAAUCGUUCUCUCCACACACCUCAAUUGGUUAGUUUUCCUCGUCUUCGUUAUAGAACUUCACUUGUAACGACUCGAACUUUGACAUCAACCGUUGAACUUCCGUCUCAACAGUUUCUUUCUCCUCCUCUUCUUCUUUGAGUUCCUCUUGAUACAGUCAAACAUACGACUACACUUAAGGGAGAACCUACGGGUCGUCGUCUCCCCACACCUCAAUUUGUUAGUCUUCCUCGUCUUCCUUAUACAACUACACUUCUAACAACUCGAACUCUGACAUCACCCCUUGAACUUCCGUCUCGACAGUUUCUGUCUCCUCCUCUUCUUCUUCUACGACGAUUUGAUACUUUGAGACUUCUUGGACUGUACACGAGUUCGGUUACACUAAUCCUUGAACUUCAAGUUAGUAAACUUCCUCCUCUCCGAGUGUUUUCUCUUCGAAUUUGACGUCAUAGUGUAAAGACUCGAUGUUUUCAGACUCCUUUUCUAUUUCAAUUUCGAAGUCCCACACUUCCGGUAGAAUCUACUCAUCCCACGGAAGAUCAUACUAUUAGUAGAUGGUCAAAUAUCUACUAUUAGAAGAUAGGUCAUGAAUUCAUACUUGAACACUGUGUUCAUGAAGUCACUACUUAAACACUAGAUACCACAACCUAGGUCG
rnacentral:rRNA from 1 species